AGAGCGAACGCUGGCGGCAGGCCUAACACAUGCAAGUCGAGCGCCCGUAGCAAUACGGGAGCGGCAGACGGGAUAGUAACACGUGGGAACGCGCCCUUCGGUUCGGAAUAACUCAGGGAAACUUGAGCUAAUACCGGAUACGCCCUUACGGGGAAAGAUUUAUUGCCGAAGGAACGGCCCGCGUCCGAUUAGCUAGUUGGUGAGGUAAUGGCUCACCAAGGCGACGAUCGGUAGCUGGUCUGAGAGGAUGACCAGCAUCACUGGGACUGAGACACGGCCCAGACUCCUACGGGAGGCAGCAGUGGGGAAUAUUGACAAUGGGCGCAAGCCUGAUCCAGCCAUGCCGCGUGGAUGAUGAAGGCCUUAGGGUUGUAAAGUCCUUUUAACGGGGAAGAUAAUGACGGUACCCGUAGAAUAAGCCCCGGCUAACUUCGUGCCAGCAGCCGC
rnacentral:rRNA from 1 species